rnacentral:rRNA from 1 species
CUAAGCUACUAAGGGUAUCUGGUGGAUGCCUUGGCUUGAGGAGGCGAAGAAGGACGUGGGGUAGCUGCGAAAAGCCCCGGGGAGCCGCUAACCAGGCUUUGAUCCGGGGAUAUCCGAAUGGGGCAACCCGUCGAGGGUCAUACCUCGUCACUCCCAUCUGAAUGCAUAGGGUGGGAGAGCAAACCCAGGGAACUGAAACAUCUCAGUACCUGGAGGAAAAGAAAGCAAAAGCGACUUCCGUAGUAGCGGCGAGCGAACCGGAAAGAGCCUAAACCUUCAGCACCUAACGGCCCUGCGGCUUAUGUGUUGGAGGAGUUGUGGGACGGACCUGGAGUGCGCAGGCAACUCGAGGGAGUGAGAAAACAGGCGUCUAGGCGAAGCGUCUGGAAAGUCGAGCCACAGAAGGUGACAGCCCUGUAGCCGAAAGACGACCUGUCUCCCGGACAUGUUCCCGAGUAGCGCCGGUCACGUGGAAUCCGGCGUGAAGCAGGGGGGACCACCCCCCAAGGCUAAGUACUACCUCAAGACCGAUAGCGUAAAAGUAGCGCGAGUGAAAGGUGAAAAGAACCCCUUUUAGGGGAGUGAAAUAGAAUCUGAAACCAGGUACCUACAAUCUGCGAGAGGGCGUCUAGUCAGUCCUACGGGGCUGGCCCGGCCUGAUCGCGUGCCUUUUGCAUAAUGAUCCGGCGAGUUACAGUCAUCAGCUUGGUUAAGCCUUUCUGGGGCGGAGCCUGAGCGAAAGCGAGUACGAAACGUGCGUAGCCUUCGGGCGGGUUGGUGGCUGUAGACGCGAAAACGGGUGAUCUAUCCAUGUCCAGGAUGAAACGGGGGUAACACCCCGUGGAGGUCCGAACGGGUCCGUGUUGAAAAAUGGUCCGAUGAGGUGUGGAUAGGAGUGAAAGUCUUUACAAACCCGUAGAUAUCUCGUUCUCCCCGAAAUAGCUUUAGGGCUAGCCUCGGAUGAAUUCUGCAAGCGGGGGUAGAGAGACUGAAUGGAUGUGGGGGGUCACCAGCCUACCCUGUCCAACCAAACUCCGAAUACCGCAUGCAGUUACCCCGGGAGUAAGUCUGGCGGGGAUAAGCUUGUCAGACAAGAGGGAAACAGCCCAGACCGUCGGCUAAGGUCCCGAAAUCUAUCUAAGUGCUGAAGGAAGUAGGAUUGCUGAGACAGCCAGGAUGUUGGCUUAGAAGCAGCCAUCAUUUAAAAAGUGCGUAAUAGCUUACUGGUCGAGCAGUUCUGCGCCGAAAAUGAACGGGACUCAAGAUAGAUACCGAAGCCACGGAAUGUAGAGCCAAGGGCGUUCUACAUUGGUAGGGGAGCGUAACACGAGGGUGGAAGCGGCACCGAGAGGAGCCGUGGACUUCGUGCUAGUGAUUAUGCCGGAACGAGUAGCGAGAAAGGGAGUGAGAAUCUCCCUCGCCGUAAACCUAAGGUUUCCUGGGGCAGGCCAUUCCGCCCAGGGUUAGUCGGACCCUAAGACGAGGCCGAAAGGCGUAGUCGAUGGAUGGCAGGUUAAUAUUCCUGCACCACUCUUGCUGAGCGAUGGGGUCACAGAACCGUGAAGGUCUACCGACGGAUGGAAAUGUCGGAUUAAGUCUGCGGGGUGGGUCGAGGUAAAACCCGGCCACCAACACCUCGGGGAUGAUGACGAGGCCGCUUUGAGCCGAAGUGACUGGAGCGACUCUCAAGAAAAGCCCCUAAGCGAUCACGGCAAGGGUGUCCGUACUAAAACUGACACAGGUAGGUGAGGAGAGUAUCCUAAGGCGCUCGAGAGAACCAUGGCUAAGGAACUCGGCAAAUUGACUCCGUAACUUCGGGAUAAGGAGUGCCUGGGUUGGUGUAGGGAUUUACUCCCGAAGCCUGUCCAGGUCGCAGUGAAUCGGCCCAUGGAACUGUUUAUCAAAAACACAGGUCUGUGCUAAGGCGUGAAGCCUACGUAUACAGACUGACGCUUGCCCGCUGUUGGAAGGUUAAGGGGACGGGUUAGAGCAGCAAUGCUCGAAGCUCAUAACCGAAGCCCCAAUGAAGGGCGGCCGUAACUAUGACGGUCCUAAGGUAGCGAAGUUCCUUGUCGGGUAAGUUCCGACCCGCAUGAAUAGCGUAAUCACAUGGGCUCUGUCUCAGCCAUGGACUCGGCGAAACUGAAGCCGAGGUGAAGAUACCUCGUCCCCGCGGGUAGGCGGAAAGACCCUAUGAACCUUUACUGCAGCUUAUUAUUGGGUUUAGCUAAUGUAUGUGUAGAAUAGGUGGGAGGCGUUGAAGAAGGGGCGCCAGCCCUUUCAGAGCCACAAUGUGAAAUACCACUCUUAUAUCGGUUGAACUCUAACCGGGUGCCGUGAAACCGGGCCUGGAACAGUGGUAAGUGGGCAGUUUGACUGGGGCGG